GAAUAUUGGUCAAUGGAGGCAACUCUGAACCAGCCAAGUCGCGUGAAGGAUGAAGGUCUUAUGGAUUGUAAACUUCCUUUGCAAGGGAAUAAAGUGGGGGACGUGUCCUCCUUUGCAUGUACCUUGCGAAUAAGGAUCGGCUAACUCCGUGCCAGCAGCCGCGGUAAUACGGAGGAUCCGAGCGUUAUCCGGAUUUAUUGGGUUUAAAGGGUGCGCAGGCGGGAUGUUAAGUCGGCGGUGAAAUUUUGCAGCUCAACUGUAAAAGUGCCUUCGAUACUGGCUUUCUUGAGUGUGGAUGAAGUAGGCGGAAUUUGUGGUGUAGCGGUGAAAUGCUUAGAUAUCACGAGGAACUCCGAUUGCGCAGGCAGCUUACUAAACCACUACUGACGCUCAUGCACGAAGGCGUGGGGAUCAAACAGG
rnacentral:rRNA from 1 species